GCCCGAGUGGUUCAGUGGCAGAACGCAUUCUUGGUAAGAAUGAAGUCGUGGGUUCGAUUCCCACCUCGGGCU
rnacentral:tRNA from 1 species